rnacentral:tRNA from 1 species
UCUCUCGUCGUCCAACUGGCAGCGACACCCGGCUCUGGACCGGGAGAUCCAGGUUCGAAUCCUGGCGAGAGAG